CCUACGGGUGGCAGCAGUAAGGGAUAUUGGUCAAUGGGGGAAACCCUGAACCAGCAACGCCGCGUGAGGGAAGACGGUUUUCGGAUUGUAAACCUCUGUCCUCUGUGAAGAUGAUGACGGUAGCAGAGGAGGAAGCUCCGGCUAACUACGUGCCAGCAGCCGCGGUAAUACGUAGGGAGCGAGCGUUGUCCGGAUUUACUGGGUGUAAAGGGUGCGUAGGCGGCUUGGCAAGUCAGUAGUGAAAUCCAUGGGCUUAACCCAUGAACUGCUAUUGAAACUGGGGAUCUAGAGUGUGCGAGAGGUAUGCGGAAUGCGUGGUGUAGCGGUGAAAUGCAUAGAUAUCACGCAGAACCCCGAUUGCGAAGGCAGCAUACCGGUGCACAACUGACGCUCAGGCACGAAAGCGUGGGUAUCGAACAGGAUUAGAUACCCCUGUAGUC
rnacentral:rRNA from 1 species